ensembl:lincRNA
CCAGCCUGUCCCUGGGGCUGGUUUUACUGAGCCCAGCUAUCCUGCCGACACUUUGAGGUCUGGGAUAGUUGGCCAAGAAGCUUUUUAGCCCUCUGAGCACAAAGUGGGGUCCAGGAACCUCAAGUAUGGGCAUGGCCAGUGGCCCUGGGGUUUUCAGGACAGGUAUGGUGGGGACACCCCAGAGAACCAGGCUGAACAAGCACAUUCUUGGUGGGAUUUGAGAAUGUGGUAGAAACUGGCAUGGCACCGGUCAUGUGGAAGGCUUUAGAUGCCUUUCCAGGCCAAAUCCACUUUGGAUAAGCACCCCACGUGUCGGGGCUCUCCCUUCUCUUUCCCUUGCAUCGGGUUUUGCCCACAGUGCCAGUGUUUUCCCCAAGGAGAAGCCAUGCCUGGAUCGUGAGAGCUGGCAGGGACACCCUCAGUGGGUCCUGGCAUCUGCCUAACUGUGCCAGUGUGACUGCCAUCUGAUCCUCACUCCAGCUGGAAGGCACAAAAGUGCGUUCUCGUUUAUGUCCUCUCACUUCUUCUCCCAGGCUGGACCACGCAGCCAUGUUGAAGGUCAGAGAACCCAACAGCAUCUCAGUUGGGCCCGUCUCCCUGUGCCUACGCCGUCCGUGGCCAUACCACCCUGAACACGCCCAAUGCUGUCUCCCUGUGCCUAUGCUGAGGCACUUGCCUCUGCCCACCUAGGGGCCAGCUCAGCCUCAGCCUGAGGCCAAGAGCAAACAGAAUCCUCCUGCAGGUCCGGCAGCAGGAAGACCUGAUGGCCACCAACUUGGACACAAGUAUGGGCGUGGUCAUUGGCCCUGGGGUUCUCAGGACUAUGCUGUGGCCACGGCCUAGUCACAGCAGGCAGCUCCAUCAUGGUUUCUCCCAAGGCUGCAGCUCAGCCGCACGCCGGCCAGGCGCACAGUGCUGUCUGGGCAGGAGCCAGUGGCCUGGUGGCCCGGUGGCCGUGAGGCCGACUCCUGUCUCCCUGGACCAGAGAUCUAGGUCUGAAAGGACCUGGCGCUGCCUCGGCAGACCUGUGGAGACCAAGCUCGUCGAGCCCUGUGCAGCGGGGACAGGGCAGUGGCACAGUGGCCAUAAAAGUUCCUCUCUGGUCCUUCUCCAGUUCUGGCUGAGUGCUGGACUCCUCCUGACUUUAAGCCGUGGCCAGGCUCUGUCUCCAUGCCUCCCUCCCUCCCUCCAGACCUGCAGGAUUCCCUGUCACUCCCUCCUGCACUGUGUUCUCUGUCCACCAUCAUGUGCCACAGACAGCUGCGCCCCAGCCUCAGGACAGACCCAGAAGUUAAGCCUCCCCAGUCCCUUCUGGGUCACCCGCUCUGGGAGUGACAUCCUGCACCCUGUAGAUCCUUGAUGCCUUUAUCUCUCCAGUGCCCCUUCUCCCUGUGCUUCUGGGUGCUGAUUUGGAUCAGGCCACAGAUGCUCUCCCAAGUGUCAGGGCAGCAGCCACCUGCCCAGGGUCCUUCUCUGUCAAAACAGCAUCUGACUGCUGACCCUGCCUAACACAGGGAACUCCUGCUCUCCUCUGCUAGACACAACUCAUGCUCUGCCGCCUUAAGAACAGAGUCACGAGCUCAGAGACACGCCAGGCACUCCGUGACUGCUGCCCCAUGGCACGGGGCGGCAGGCAUUGCCCCUGUGCCCUGCCUGCCUGCCCAUGCCCACCCUCUGUACCACUGCCCCUGGACCACAGUGCUCACUGGCUCUGCGUGGCCCCAGCCUUCUCUUGCCCUCACGCUCUUCCCACCCUGCAGACCCC